rnacentral:tRNA from 1 species
GGUUGUGGCUCAGUGGUAGAGCACUUGCCUAGCGCAUAUGAGACCUUGGGUCCGAUUCUCAGCACCG